CGGGCUCCCCUCACUGUGCCUUUACUGUGCGCGUUUUUUGUUCACUGUUUUCCGCAUCCCCCGACACCGCGUUUCCCCUCUUCCGCGAUUCUCUUCCGUCCGGCGACGACGGCGGCUCCGACGACCCCUGUGAGCGGCGACGACAUCUACUCAGUGUUCCAUACCGGCGGAGUGGUUCUGCUCCGGCGCGGUGGAUUCCCCUCAUCUCCCGAUCUUGUUGAAGAGCGGCGGCUUCAGAUUUAGGGUUUUCACCGGAGUGGUUCUGAUCCGGUGAUUCUUUCCCUCUCCGUCCCUACCUCUGACGAAGCUCCCUGCCGACGUUGUUGCGAACGCAUGGAGAUCUCAACAGAGGAGGACGCCGGCUUCACUCUUCUUCUCCGUUUGUUUCAGGAUGUCGAUGUUGGAAUUCUGAGCUGGGAAAAUGUUUCUUGAUGGCACUCGAGUGAUACCAGACACUUGGAGGGGUCUUGUACGCAUAGGAAGAGGUGAGGAAGGGGCUAGUUCACUUCCAGUGGCUUGAUCGGACCCAAAAUACUGUUGAAGAUGAUCAUAUUAUCUUUCGAGAUGAAGCAAUUUUUGAAAAGGUUUUCAACUCUAUGUACUAGAAGAAAAUGAAGUCAAUUGUUUCUUUCCCUAAAUAAAUGACAAUUGAGACUUGAAACAGAUAAUACAAUGCUAAAAUAGAAUGCAAUAACAACUCAAAAACUUUGCCAAAUGCUGAAAUGGAUAGUGUUAGAAAAUUAAAUUAGCCAUUUCUCAUACUAAGAAGAAGCUUUUUCAAACCAACAAAGUGAAUCAAUUAUUUAUGAACAAAGGAAAACUCCAUUUCUUUGGAGAUUCCUACACAGUCUCAACCUCUUCUCAAUUAAAAAAAGUUUCCUAUGCACUUCCGCACGACACUGCUCAACUAGAAAACCUAGCGAUGACCAAAUAGAAAAAAAGCCUUGAAGGCAACACCAGCGACAAAGAAGAGUAAGAAGAAGAGCUUAUCUGUUUUCUUAUUUUGUAACUCUUCAAUCUUAAUAUCAGUUUCAUUUUUUAACUGUAUGAUUAACUCUUUCUCCUUCUUUAGUUGAUUAAUUUCUGCGAGUGAAUUCGUAUUUUUCUCAUUUGCAGUAUUUAGGUCAUGACUCAUAGUAUCCAGAUCACGUUUCACAGUAUCCAGCUAAUGACGCAGCUGUCGGAUCUGCCGCAGCUGGUUGACCAAGUCUUUGUGAAGACUUCUCAACUUAGUCUUGCUUCUUUUUCAACAUCACUUCCUGCGCUGUGAAGAAGAAUUCAGGACAAAGUUGAGGAGUCUUCACGAAGACUUAGUCAACCAACGGCGACAGAUGUGGCAACUGUGCCGUGAUCUGGAUACUGCGAGACGUGACUUGGUUAUUACUAGUCGUGACUUGAAUACUGCAAAUGAAAACAAUAUAAAAUCACUCGUAGGAAUUAAUCAAUUGAAGAAGGAGAAAGAGUUAAUCAUAUAGUUAAAAAAUGAAGCUGAUAUUAAGAUUGAAGAGUUAUAAAAUAAGAAAGCAAAUAAGUUCUUCUUCUUACUCUUCUUUGUCACUGGUGUCGCCUUCAAGCCUUUUUUUUUCUAUGUGGUCACCGCUAGGUUUUCUGGCUGAGCGAUGUCGUGUGGAAGUAACCAGGAAACUUUUUUUAAUUGAGAGGAAGUUGAAAAUGCGUAGGAACGUCUAGAGAAAUGGAGUUUUUCUUUGUUCAUAAAUAAUCGUUUCCCUUUGUUGGAUUGAAAAAGCUUCUUAGUAUGAGAAAUGACCAAUUUAUUUUUCUAAUAGUAUCCAUUUCAACAUUUGGCAAAGUUUUUGAACUGCUAUUGCGUUCUAUUUUUAGCAAUGUAUUAUUUGUUUUAAAUCUCAAUUGUCAUUUAUUUAAUGAAAGAAGCAAUUGAGUUCAUUUUCUUCUAAUGCGUAGAGCUGGAAACCAUGUUGAUCAUAAUAUGACCAGCGAGCUAAGCGGAGAAGUUACUUCUUCUAGUGGACUUAUGUGGUUGGAGGAUUCUAAGAAGCAUCUAAACAUCAGAUGAUAUUGUUGAAUAGUGAUUUUCUAAGAAGAAUUCAAUUAUUUCUCGGUGUUGUUGAAGAUCUCGAUGCAGGUAAGUUUCCGACAUGAUUAGGUGUUGUAUGAUUAAAUUGUAGUGCUUCUCACAAUCAGAGUUUCAAAAUUGGGCUUAGCCGACAUUUUAAAGCCUGAUUUGAUUUUGCCUGUUGUUGGAAGCUUGCUAGUUGAGCAACAUUUUUCACAUUGCCUGAGGGCUCAUGGACUCCGGCUGAUCUCAUGGAGCUGUAGCAGAGUCCACAAGUUCACCUGCAAGGAGACACAUUCACUCGUGUAAGUGACGGUUUCAGUUGGAAAAAGAGAUAAAAGACUGUCUCCUAAUUUGUAAGCAGGUGAUUUGAACAAGGUGGAUAGAUCUUUCGCAGUUCGGAAUCAACCUGAGCAAAUUUGAAAGCAUCAUCUCGAGGAGGAGGAAGUAAUGGAGAAAGGAUGUUCAUGUUGCAUCGCCAUAGGUCUAAAAGAUUUGGGGAGAAAGUCGAGUUUAAGCUCUCCAAUCUGCUGGUUACCAAGGCGAAUAUUCUUCCCUAUUCCUACAGGAUGGAGCCGACUUCUUUCUAUUGUAUCGGUGGAGACUGGAAAAACAAUUGCUAAACUGAUGCAGAGUCUAUAUGGGUGUCCCAAGAUAAUACAUCAAAAGAGCUUCGAUAAAGCCAUUUUAAGAUUGUUGUUUCGCUGGUCUGAUACAACAAUCACUAUGUUUCUAUAUGUAAUUGCAUAUGCUAUUAUUAGAUAAAAUUUUUUGCUGAAAAUUAGUAGUU